AUUCCUACCUGGCGUCGGGAUACCGUGAUCAUGCAGGCGGUUCCCCGGGGUGCGGCUGCUCCGUUGCACUGCGGAGUGGUUGACCCUUGCGAUUAUUUUAUAUUUUAUAAGUUUCACCUCAACCUGUGUGACUUGCACACACUCACAUUUUUAUUGUUUGGAUUUCUCCAAGUUACUUAAUUCCAAU
rnacentral:snRNA from 9 species